ACAAUCGCAAUCCAUCCUCGCCUCGCCGGGCAGGCCGGAGGGGGAAAAAAAUUCUCUGCUGGCGAGCUGCACAACGGCGCCUCUGCAGCACGCCCGGAUUGAAGCCACGUGGUCGUAACCUUGAUCUCAAAGCAUUUGCGUGAGCCCGGUGCAGGUCAUGAUGAUCGAGCCAGCGAGCGAUGGAAUGAGCCGAAGCUGCUUCCACCUUGCAUCUGGCUAACACAGCUCGACGCCUUGCCAUCCACCAUCCAGACUCCAAUAUCUUGCCGCGCCGCUUGCGAGAUCUCGGAGAGCUGCGACGGCUCCCCACUCCGGCACUCCCCAGUCCCCCUGGCGCCCUCCCAGAUCGUAGCUUCGCAGCUCCGCCCGGCCCUGACGCCCUGACCGUGACCGGCGACGCCUCAGCGCCUCCCAACUCCCACUCCUUUCGGCGACUCACGGCUGGUGCGCAAGAUGCGGUGGCGCCCGUAGCCCCCCACUUCCGGCGGCCGGCGCAGGUGACAGAUAAAAGAAGGCAAAAUGAGAAUCUAAGGAGCAGUGGAGGAGGAGGUGGACGACUUCAUCAACAAGUUCAGGCAGCAGCUGCAGCUGCAGAGGCUCAACUCGCUCCUCAACCGCGGGGGCAGGCAGUAGUAGCUUCAACCUGCAAGAAGAAGCGUUGCAUGCAGCAAGCGAGCAGCUGCUGGUUAGGAUUGUAAUAGUAGUAUAGUACUACAUGAAUCAGCAAUCACAUGAGUUUGUUGAUGUAUGGAUGAAAAUCCAAGUAGUGGUCCUGCUGCCUACUAUCCCAGACAACAUUGUGCCUCCACGGUGGUGUUCGUAUGGGUGUUAGUAAAUCAUUUUGUAAUUGCUGUUUUAAUCUUCUUUUUGCUGCUAGCUGCCGGCUGUCUGUAGGCAGUAAAAACUUGAUGUAAAACUGUAUUCUUCUUCAAUGAAUGGAAGAGGUUCUGCCCCUUUGUUGAAAUAAGAA